rnacentral:lncRNA from 1 species
GUUCUUGACAGCCAGUCACUGGGCGGAAUGUACUUUCCCCUGACGUAUCCAUUUAUUUAUUUAUUUAUUUAAGCUGUGGAAUAAACAAGUAAACCUUCCAGCCGAACGUCCCGAGUUAGCAGCCAAUUCUCCUCCAUCCUGCAGCCGACUAUCAAAUAAAAUAAUUCAUGUGUUUCUGUCCAUUUUGGAUAAGCCUCUACGGAUCCCCAGGCACUGCUGCUAUUACGCGCUGCCGAAUGGUGCAGUGAGACAGGCUGCAGCGUCCCUGUGGCCCCCCCUCCACCCCUGCCCAUCCAGCCCAGAUCCUGCCUGCAAGGAUGCAGGGGAUGGUGCUAUUCAAACGCUGGCUCGCUCUGUUUCUGCUCGCUGUCGGAGCUGGAGGGGCUUGGAGUCAGGACACCGGAAUAUGUCCCCUGCACCUGCUCGUCGGCCUGGACGUCACUGAUUACCAACAGUCCAGCCUGCACCAAUACCUGGAGGGCAUCAUCUGGGAGCUGUUCUCCCUGACCAGGGUCAGCUGCGCCCAGCUCAACGUCACCCUGAGCAUCCAAAGCAUGGACCAGGGCGGCGAGGUCCUCUUCCAAGCCCGCCUCGCCAAGUACCAGCACGACAUCUUGCAGCAGCUGCGUGUGGUGCACGCCUUCAGGCGCACCUACCUGAACCAGCCCUCCCUGCACAGACUGCUGGAGAUGAGCCGAGGCCUGCCAGAGAGUAACAAGGUAGAGCCUCAGCUGACCCAAGAGCUCCACAUGGGCACAUCCUGCAGGGCAAGGACACCCGCUCAGCG